rnacentral:tRNA from 1 species
CAAGAUGUAGCUUAAUU